CCCGCCCUCAGAUGUUUGGGACUCAGCUGAAGGCGGGGGGGUCCUCGCUGUGGGGGCUGAACCCCCCGGGGUUGUAAGGAGACAAAGGAAUCCAGGUCCAACUCUUCCCCGCUUUGGGGCUCGUUGCCCCGGCUGUCUCAUAGCUCUUCAUACCAGUGGCCCAUCUCAUACCAGGUGCCUGAAGGAGGCAGGUUCUGAGGAUCUGAGUCCUGAUGGCUGCUGAAGCUUCUACUCCAGAUUCAAGGGCAGCAGUCCUCAGGAGGCCCCAAUAUCUCACAUUCCUGGUGGAAUCUGAUGCCUGGAUCAAUGGAACAGCAGACAAGGCUGUGGACUCUGAGCCCCAAGAAUAG
rnacentral:lncRNA from 1 species